rnacentral:rRNA from 1 species
AACUUAAAGGAAUUGACGGGGGCCCGCACAAGCGGAGGAGCAUGUGGUUUAAUUCGAUGAUACGCGAGGAACCUUACCUGGGCUCGAACGUAAGAUGACUGUAGGUGAAAGCUUACAUCUCUUCGGAGCAUUUUACGAGGUGCUGCAUGGUUGUCGUCAGCUCGUGCCGUGAGGUGUCGGGUUAAGUCCCAUAACGAGCGCAACCCCUACCUUUAGUUGCCAUCAGGUUAAGCUGGGGACUCUAAAGGAACUGCCUACGCAAGUAGUGAGGAAGGCGGGGAUGACGUCAAAUCAGCACGGCCCUUACGUCCAGGGCUACACACGUGCUACAAUGGCCGGUACAAAGGGCAGCUACCUGGUGACAGGAUGCUAAUCUCAAAAGCCGGUCUCAGUUCGGAUCGGAGUCUGCAACCCGACUCCGUGAAGCUGGAAUCGCUAGUAAUCGUGAAUCAGAAUGUCACGGUGAAUACGUUCCCGGGCCUU